GCUGGUUACCUGUGAACGAAUCUAAGUUCUCCCUUAAUUUUACGCCAAAAGAGAUUCAACUUACUUACCCGUACUAAAUUAAGAGCAAUUUAAAGGAGGUACAGCUCCUUUAAAAAAGAAUACAACCUCCACCACAGGAUAAGCACUUACCUACUAUACUUGUAGGCCCUCAAGCAGCCACCAAUAAAGAAUGCGUCAAAGCUCUUUACCACAAAAAAUCCAAAAAUAGACGCGACUCCUUCUCCAACAGCAGGUUAACCUAUUAUAAAUAGGAGUAUUAAUGCUAAAAUAAGUAACCAAGGUACUACCUUCUAAAGCACAAACUUACAUUUUACAUUAUUAACAGAGUUUCUCUAAUAUCUCAACCCCUACAAGACCAAAUAUUUAACACAACCUGUUAAACCAACCCAGGAGUGCCCAAUUAGAACGAUUCAAACCUGUAAAAGGAAUUAGGCAAACUCAAGGCCCGACUGUUUACCAAAAACACAGCCUUCAGCACACCAAGUAUUGAAGGUGACGCCUGCCCAGUGACAUAAAGUUUAACGGCCGCGGUAUCCUAACCGUGCAAAGGUAGCGCAAUCAAUUGUCUCAUAAAUCGAGACUUGUAUGAAUGGCUAAACGAGGCCUUAACUGUCUCUUACAGAUAAUCAGUGAAAUUGAUCUCCCUGUGCAAAAGCAGGGAUAUAUCCAUAAGACGAGAAGACCCUGUGGAACUUAAAAACCAGCAACCACUGUAAACCCAACUACCAAACCUAAUAGGCACACAAACCAAAAACA
rnacentral:rRNA from 1 species